rnacentral:rRNA from 1 species
CAGCAGCCACGGUAAUACGGAGGGUGCAAGCGUUAAUCGGAAUUACUGGGCGUAAAGCGUGCGUAGGUGGUGGUUUAAGUCCGUUGUGAAAGCCCUGGGCUCAACCUGGGAAUUGCAGUGGAUACUGGGUCACUAGAGUGUGGUAGAGGAUAGUGGAAUUUCCGGUGUAGCAGUGAAAUGCGUAGAGAUCGGAAGGAACAUCUGUGGCGAAGGCGACUAUCUGGGCCAACACUGACACUGAGGCACGAAAGCGUGGGGAGCAAACAGGAUUAGAUACCCCUGUAGUCCCUGUCUCUUAUAA